GCCGCCGCCGCCGCCGCCGCCGCCCCCGCCCCCGCCCCCGCGACGCGCCUUCUUCCGCCCUUAGGUGCGGGCCUUCAAGGUCCUGACCGCUCGUUUAAGCGUCCCUGUGCGGUGCUUGGGCCCUGCAAGGUCCUUCUCCGUAAGUAGAGGAGUUGAGGCCUCAGCUCAGGAAUAUUCCUCAGCCCGCAGUGCAGAGAGUGGGUAAUCUUGACCCGGGCAAUUGAGGUCUAGGUCUUCAGAGCCUGACGACCUAUAUUGGAAGUUCAGCACUGCCACUUGCAUGGCGUGUGACCCCCAGAGAGUCACUUCAUCUAGCCAAGUCUCACUUCGCACGUGGGCGAAAUGGGGGUUUGCUUUCCUUUGAGUUGACUUCAUUCUCAGGCAGGCUUUCCCUAUGUGGGAAAAAAGAUGGCCACCAGCAGCUCCAGGUUACAUUCUACCAAUUUAGUAACCCUAACAGAAAGCAUCUGUAUCAUUCUCAGAUGAAGAAGGAAACAAGAAGGCAGCUGUCUGCAAGUCAGGAAGAAAAUCCUCACCAGGAGCCAAAUCAGCGGGCACCUUGGUCUUGGACUUCCCAGCUUCCAAAACCGUGAGAAAUAAACAUCCGUUGUUUAAGCCACCUAGUCUAGGUAUUUUGUUAUGGUAACCUGAGCUGACUAGGACAAUGACUAAGAAAACUACUAGAGAAAAUUAGUAAUAGCCUUUGUUGUAUACUCUCUAAAAGAUGUAGAGAAAACAUCUAUGCUUUGAGAGGGAAACCUCUCAAAGGUCAUCAAUUUCUAGUUGCCAAACCCAAUGAUUCUCAUUCAAUUUCCAUUCUUCUUUGCCAUGUUGACUGUCCUUGCCUUCUUUUUGUUUUUUUAAGUUUGUUUAUUUAUUUAUUUUGAGAUAGAGGGAGCACAAGCAGGGGAGGGGCAGAGAGAGGGAGAGAGAGAAUCCCAAGCGAGCUCCACGCCAUCAGUGCUGAGCCCAACUCAGGGCUCAAUUUCACUGACCAAAAGAUCAUGACCUGAGCCAAAAUCAAGAGUCAGUUGCUUAACUGAGUCACCCAGGUGCCCCAUCUGUCCUUGCCUUCUUGAAUCUCUUCUACUUUGGCCUCUGUGACUGCCCCCAUCCAUGGAUUCUCCUUUUACUUUUCUGACAGCUCUCUCUCUGUAUCCUUCAGUCUUUUCUUUUCUCCACUUGCCCUAUACAGGAGAUCUCUGAGAUUUGUUCUUGGACAUCCUAUCCUCUUGCUCUACCCACUUCACUGAAUAAUUUUAUUUACCCCCACAAUUUUCUGUCUCACUCAUAGGCUGUUCCUACGUAUCAUUUCCUCAUUUAUUAUUCAUAGCCUUAAAGUUUGCUGAGCUUUAGGUCCUGAUUUUUACUGUCCUGGUGAAUACCUCCACCUGCAUAAGAUGCAAAGACUAUAAAUAUGUCCCAAACUGAACUUCUCCUUACCCUAAUCUAGUCUCAAAACACUUUUUUAGUUACCAGUACCUCUAAUACUGGCAAUCCACACUCUCUUCCAGGCUCUAGCUCAGUUUUAUAGGCUUCCUUCACCAACACCGCUUCUCCUCUACCCCAUUCCAUUCUCACUUUCUUGUCUAAAUCCUGCCUUGUCCAAUAUUCAUUUUCCUCCUUUUGCUUUGUUGACUACUGCUUCCCAAGAACAUGUCAUACAUUUUUAUGCUUCCAUGAGUUGCUUAUGGUUUCCUUCUCCUUGGAACGCUGUUUCCCCACUGUUACCUAUCUAAAUCCUACUCAUCUUUCAAAAUCCAACUCAAAUGCUAAUUCUUCUAUGGAGCCCCCUGACACACCUUGUCAAAACCAAGCAUUCACCUCUUUGGGCUCCCACAGAACCACCAGAACAAGUACUAUAAUCCUUUUGGAGUUAUUGUGAGUUAUGUAUUUUCUUUUCUCUCCUGGUAGAGUAUGAUUUUUCUUGAGGGAAGGAAGCAUCAUAACAGUGCACUGCACAAUUCAGAUGCUCAAUAACAUUUGUCAAAUUGAAUCAGAGAAGAAAAUAACUGAAAAAAAUGAAGAUAUCUUUAAUAAGAGGCAAUGUUGCUUAAGAAAGACAUUAAUACUUUGGAGGACUAUUCUCUUAUAUAAAGUCUUUGCUGUUAAAAAAAUUGAGUGACGGGGCACCUGGCUGUGUCAAUCGGUAGAGCAUGUGACUCUUGAUCUUACGGUCGUGAGUUUAAGUCCCAUAUUGGUUGUAGAGCUUCCUUAACAAAUAACAGUAGAGUGAGAGACAGGCAGUAGCACACAGGGCAGAUGCCUUCUUAACUCUUCUUAGCAGGUGAUUUUCAUUUGGCCUUUACCCUGCAACCCAAGUGGGCCUUCCCUUUAAAAUGUUUUGUUUGAAUAAGCUGAAAUUUCUUAAAAUUCAUAUCUUGAGAGAUUUUAUUGUUUAAGCAGAAGAGAAAACUCUCAACUCACACAUUAUCACAUUAUAUGGUUUUGAUAUGUGGUGGGCUCCACAUAUAUUAGUAAUUGGCUUAUGACGAAAUCUAAACCUAUCAGGACAGAAGAAGCAGUAGAACAUAUUAAGUGAAAACUUGGCUCUGGAGCAGGACUGCCAGAGCCUGAAUUAGGCAAAUUAACUUCUCUGUGCCUCAGUUCCCUCUUGCGUCCAGUGGAGAUUGUAAUGGACCUACUUCACAAGGUUAUUAUAAAGAUUAGACAGGUUGAUGUAUGCAAAGUUCUUGAACAGGCUAGGCACAUGGUAAGCAUUCAGUAAUUAUUCUGUGUUAUUAUUAUUUUCAAUUACCACUUUCAACUGGGAUGGCAAAUCCCUGUCUCCUGUACCUUAAUGACACCCCUGGAAGAUUCUAUGACUUGACUACUACAAUUCAGUUCAAUCUGGUUUCAAACAUCAGUCUCAUGAUUGGUUCCAAGUUCUCUGCCUCACCCAAUACAAGCUAGACUUACUGGCAGGAGGACACUGUUUGACUUUUUCAAUCAUCCUCCUGUUGUAGUGACCUAGAGGGUGCCUGGAGGGUGGGUGGCGUUGGAUCAUGUUCUGGGGCACUGGGUCGCCUUCCCAGUUCUUGGGACUGGGUCAGGAAGAGAGAUGAGACAGUCAGAGCUCUCCUUAUAUAGCUAGCUUCCUCUUGUUAGGAAUGCAUCCCUGAAACUCACUGCUGUGGUUCUGUUUUGUUCUGCUCCUGCUGUGGCCUCUGAUGAAAUGGUAGCCUCCACUGGAUGGGUGCACACUGUUUAGUUUUACCCUAGGUACCUCUUUAGCGUUAGAUUACUGAAGCACAGUUGAUGCUGGAGAGGAGACUGGAAACGGUGCUUGAUUUUGUUGUUUUAUUGUUCUGACAAGAGGGACAGCUUACAAUUAGAACACUCUUGUUUCCCACGAUGCCUGCUGAAUA